rnacentral:misc_RNA from 1 species
AUUUUACUUGAUUCUUCCUAAAUAGAUCUCUAAGCUGCGGUGAACAAAAAUCAGCUUAGAGAUUAUUCAUCAAGUAUCUCUAAGCUGCUGUGAACAAGAACAGAUGUCAUCAAGAUUUUCUAAGAUGCAGUGAAGAAGAAACAGAAAGCUGAAUGAGGAAGAACAAGUUUAACCAAGAAUUUCUACGCUAAGCUAAUCGAACUGGGUAAUCUUUUUACUGAUAUGUUUUCUAAGUUCCACAAUAGAUCAACAAUAUAUCUCCUCUCAAGAGUGGAACAGAUUUAUCUAUAAACCGACAAAGUUUUCAUCUCAAGAUCUAAUUGGCUGCAGUGAGUUUGAUAUAUGGAGUGUAACAAAUCAUGAGUUGCAUCUCAGAUCUACAAAAAGACCCACAUCGUGUUGUUCAAUUAAUCAGUGCAUGUGUUGAUUGUUUUCCCUGAGGUGCUUAGUUUGUUGCAGAUUUCAGUACUUGUUCCAA